rnacentral:rRNA from 1 species
CAAUAGCGUAUAUUAAAGUUGUUGCAGUUAAAAAGCUCGUAGUUGGAUUUCUGGUGGGAGCGAUCGGUCUGGCGCUUAGCGCGAGUACUUGCAUCGUCUCCGGCCAUCCUUGGGGAGAGUCUGUCUGGCAUUAGGUUGUCGGGCAGAGGAUCCUCAUCGUUUACUGUGAAAAAAUUAGAGUGUUCAAAGCAGGCUUAUGCCGUUGAAUAUAUUAGCAUGGAAUAAUAAGAUAGGACUUUGGUACUAUUUUGUUGGUUUGCGCACCAAAGUAAUGAUUAAUAGGGACAGUUGGGGGUAUUCGUAUUCCGUUGUCAGAGGUGAAAUUCAUGGAUUUACGGAAGACGAACUACUGCGAAAGCAUUUACCAAGGAUGUUUUCAUUAA